UCGAUGCAUGCGUUGUCGGUAUAGCGUUGACUUCUCCCCGGCAUGGACUUGUCAACCGAGACUACCGACAACAACAUCCGUUCACUAGAUCGGGACUGGACUCCCCAAGUCCCUCAGAUCUUCGACUCAAGGGUGUGUCUCGAUCGCCGUCGUGGAAGUCGGCGAUGAGCACCGAGUCAUGUACCUCGCCUCCAUUUACAUCGGCGGGCAGUUUUCCACAUUGCGAUUGUCCCCGAAGUGUGCGUUGUCGGUGUGAUACCCUAUUGGAAGCAAGGAGUUUGAUGAUGUUAACGGGAGUUUGAGAGACCCACUUCUGAGCUCUUCAGAGUGGGAAGCUUGAGUCUAUACCAGGGUAUGACCCACGAGUUGAUAUCCACGCAGUUAUUUGUAUCAUGAAGCGUUCUAUUUGAAGGAGUCCCUCCCUCCAGGCGGAUACAACGAGGAAUGCAAUCGCACCAGAUUUGAAGGUCUGACAAGAA